rnacentral:lncRNA from 1 species
CUCCAUUUUCUGAAAAGGGAGAUAAAAAAUACUACACAGAUUUAAAUGUAUUAUAUUUUUUCAUGUUAUCUUAAAGGAACAAGCAAAAAAAAAAAGAAAAAGAAAAAGAAUUGGUCAGUGUUAGCCACAGACACAAUGAUUUGAAAGCAAAAGCAAAGUUAUGUAAAUUUUGGAGAAAUGAUUUCAACAAUAUAUUGUAAAGUUGCUAGAAUGUCAGCUAAAUAUUGAGAUGGCAUCACAUUAAGUAAAGAAUAAAGAAUAUUCAAAACUUUCAAAAAAAAAAAAACCCUAAGGCAUAUUAGGAUGAAAUAAACCACCAACCAAAGAGAAAGGGAGCUUUAUAAAAUUAUUGGAAAUGUUUUUAUGAUGACUGGAAUAUAUUAGUACUUCAGUUUAAUAGUAUAUGGUAACUUAUCAACUGUACAGCACACACAUUCUUACUAAAAUCCCAAAUCUUGGGACAAAAGGAAACAUAAACCUUGAGAAGUUUCAUAAUUCAAAAGGGAAACAGAUGAAUAAAUAAUCGUACUACAACAUGAUAUGUACUGGGAUACAGAUAAAUGCAGAGCAGUGGCAGUAAGUAACUGAGGAAGUCACUUUUGAGCUGACCUUUGAAGGAUGAAUAGAAGUUCACCAUAUAUUAGAAUAUUCAGAUUUUAGCAAAAUUUAAACAUUGACUCUUUAUCUGAAAUUACCAAUUGAUAUCCUUUAGGGAUAAAAAUUGUUCCUUGCUACUGCAUUAAUUUGUUUUAUAUCUUCAUUAUGAAUUCUUAAACUAAUAUUAUUCUGAUGGAUCUCUUUUCCUAAAUGCCUUUAUAGUAUUGUAAAUUAUAAAUGUGUAGAGCUUACUUUUAGCACAUAUGACAGGAAAAACACUGAAGAUUCAAGCUGACCCAGAUGAUAUGUGAAAAUGACAAUUUAAUUAAUUUCUCUGAACCUUAACUUUCUCAUUAAAAAAAGAUGGGGAGAAUACCUAUCUCAUGGAAUGAUUAGGAGAUAAUGAGAUGAUAUAUUUUGUGAACUAGGACAAUAGCUAGUUUGAAUAAACCAACAAUCUGUAAAUGGAAGUUCUCUUCCCUAGCUUUUAUCUUCAAAUAAGAUAAGAAAGACUUGGCUUAAACUUGUUUUCUUUUCUAGUUUACAAAUGCUAUACAAUGAACAUUAAUCUUCACAUUCUUGAACAAAUGGAUGAAAGCAAAUUGCUUGAAAGUUAGUUUGGUGUAAAGUAGACCAAUGGAGGAAUAUAAAAAAUAAAGCCUCCUCUAAUUUCACUACUUAUGUAUGUAGAGUUAAUCUUAAUGGACAAAAGGAUUUGUGCAGUCACAUGAUAUUGUCCUUUCAGUGAAAAAUCUUGUAAGCUUUCCUAAGAACAAAGGUUACUUCUUCCAUUGCUUUAACAGACACCCUUUUAGUAUUUGGUAAAAUACUCCAUUCAUGCCUUAGACUUCCAUGGGUGUUUGUUGCUUUAGUGCCUCUUGAUCUUGAACUCAGUAUUUCCCAGAAAGCAUUAGCAGUUUUGUCCAGUAGGGAAGAUGAGACCAAAACUUCUAAGUCAGGUCAAGUCAUCUGUGUCUAUAUGUGAAAACACCAUAGUUUAUAAAAUGUUAAACCAACAAUCCAAAAUUUCAAAUGUUAAGAAAAUUAAAUGCACCACUGAAUGUGUCUAUGAGUAUUAUACUUGGGCUCCUAGCUACAUGAAAUAUAAACAUUUAAAAGGAUGUAGGUUGGAAACCAGGUUCCUUCUUUCUCAUUAACUGUUCUUGUACUUCUAUAUUAGAUUGUGAAGGUAAAAAACCUGUUUUACUUAACAAAGCUGGCUAGUGCUUUUUAUGGAAAUUCUUUUUCAGUUUGUAACUCACGUGAAUGUCAAUGUCAAAGUAACAACAGCACCACUGGGAUGAAAUAGAUAAAAGACUCCUGGUCAGAUGAAGUUCUCUUUCCAUUAAGAUUUAACCUUCAUGUUUUCCAUUAAGCCAUAUUGUCAACUCAGCUUCUUUCUUCACUGAGAGUGGCCCACUGAUGGAUGUUUUUGUGUAGUAUAGCAUGAGGUAGAAAAGUAUUUCUAUUUCUAUGUGCUUUUAAACCUUUAUAUGGAAAACAAAAUUUGCCAGAAUUUCUAGGCAACAUUGCUUUAUAUAUAAAUUAUGAAAUACUUCAUUGAUAAUUCAUAAUUUUUGAUGCUAUAAAUGUAGGUAUGUGUACACCCACAAUAACAUUUUAGUUUUUCUAAUCUUUCAAUUUGUUUGAUUUGUAUAUUCAAGUUUAUCUUAUGUGAGUAUUUGGUGUAUGAGACUAGAUGUAUUUCAUAGACUCAUAAAUCCAGACUUAGAAAAAUGCACUUUUUAGGUGGGAUUUGGAAACUAAAGUUCCAAAAUUUAUCACAUGAAUAGUUCGAAACUUUUUUUUCUUAAAAUGAAGUACUUAAAAAAAAUGUCGAAAAGUCACUUUCUUGAACAUAGUUCCCUGUACUACAUAGCAGGAUCUCAUUGCCUAUCCAUUCUAAAUGUAACAGUUUGCAUUACUUGUGAUGAAACAUGAUGAAAGAUAAUAUUCAAGUGUGUGGAUAAGUGUAUAACUGGGUCACUUUUCUGUACAGCAGAAAUUGACAGAACAGUGUAAAUCAACUAUAAUAAAUUUUUAAAAAAAAUCACUUUCUUAAAAAUUAAUUUACCUUUGGAAUGAGGGCAAUGGGCCUGCAGUUUUUAUUAUCUUCAGAAUUAAUCAUCAAGUUUAGAACAUGGCUUCUAGGAAUUAAAUUUUACUAUAGCUGUAAUUGUAAGAAAAAUUCUAUUUCAUUUCUUUGUCAAGUGUUAGAUUUUUCCUUUUAACAAGGAAAAUAUUAAACACUACCUCUAAUUGUGCUUGAUAGGUUUUGGACUCAAAAUUUGUCAAAUGGUGUUUAGAGUGGUUUUCCGUGGACAGGUUGGAAAUAUUGGGAACUAUACAUUUGACAAUUAAGAAAUAUCGUAAUCAGGUAUUACUAAGUUUUUGCAAUAUGUAUGAUCCUAGGGUAGAUUCUUGGAUAUUAAAUACACCUAAUCUAUUAUUUUCUCCUCAAUUCUUUCCUUCCUUCUUUCCUCCCUCCCUUCCUACAUUUCUUCCUCUCUUCCUUCCUUUCUCCUUUCCUACCUUCCACUCUUCCUUCAUCCCUCUCUCCCUCUCUCACUUCUUUCCUUCCUUCCUUCCUUGCUCCUUUCCUCCCUCCCUCAUUCCUUCCCUCCCUUCCUUCCUACUUCAAAUUAUCUCUAGGAAAAGUUACAUACUUAGAAUAAGGCAUCUUUAACUCAAAAAGGAAGACAAUUGAAGAAAUUAGCAGAAUGGGAGAAAAGAGUUUCAAAUGAUACAACUGACAAGGGCUUAAUCUCUAGAAUAUACAAACAACUUAUACAACUCAACAGCAAAAAAAGCCAACGACCCAAUGGAAAAAUGGGCAAAAGAUCUGAGUAGACAUUUCUCCAAGGAAGAUGUACAGAUGGCCAACAAGCACAUGAAAAAAUGCUCAACAUCCCAGAUGAUUAGAGAAAUGCAAAUCAAAACUACCGUGAGAUACCACCUCACACCAGUCAGAAUGGCCAUCAUUAAUAAGUCCACAAAUAACACAUGCUUGAGGGGGUGCAGAGAAAAGGGAACUCUCUUGCACUGUUGGUGUGAAUGUAAGCUGGUAUGAACACUAUGGAGAACAGUAUGCAGGUACCUUAGAAAACUAUACAUAGAACUUCCAUAUGACCCAGCAAUCCCACUCUUAGGUAUAUAUCCAGAGAGAACUUUUCUUAAAAAAACACAUGCACCUGCAUGUUUGUUGCAACACUAUUCACAAUAGCCAAGACAUGGGAACAACCCAAAUAUCCAUUGACAGAUGAAUGGUUAAGAAGAUGUGGUAUAUAUACAAAAUGAAAUACUACUCAGCAUUAAAAAAGUACAAGAUAAUGCCAUUUGCAGCAACAUGGAUGGAACUAAAGACUCUCAUACUGAGUGAAGUAAGUCUGAAAGAGAAAGACUAAUACCACAUGAUAUCACUUAUAUCUGGAAUCUAAUAUAAAGCACAAAUGAAUCUUUCCACAGAAAAGAAAAUCAAGGACUUGGAGGAUAGACUUGUGGUUGCCAAGGGGGAGAGGCAGGGAGUGCAGUGGAUGGGGAACUUAGGGUUAAUAGAUACAAACUAUUGCCUUUGGAAUGGAUUAGCAAUGAGAUCCUGCUGUGUAGCACUGGGAACUAUGUCUAGUCACUUAUGAUGGAGCAUGAUAAUGGGAGAAAAAAUAAUGUAUCCAUGUAUGUGUAACUGGGUCACCAUGCUGUAGAGUAGAAAAAAAAAUUGUUUUGGGGAAGUAACAAUUUAAAAAAAUUAAAUUAAAUUAAAAAGAAUGAAAUUAGCACAUCAAAUUAAAGACUAUGAAGGAAGAUCAGGAAGAUCAUCAUCGUAAAUUUGCCAUGACAAGGUGACAGUUGGAAAAACAAAGAGGGGCCUGUCUAAGUAAAGAAAUCGGUAAUCUUUGUGGUAUGUUAGAUUUGAGGAGCUAAAACAUCAGUAUAACAGCAAUAUAUGUGGCCUUGGGUACCUGGGGAUCACAUGAGUGUAGAGGGCAUAUUUGCUCUAUGUAUGUUAGGUACUGAUGACUGUGAUUUCUCCACGGUUAGUCAGUCACAAAAUCAGACUGAUUUAAACACCAACAUAUUACUCAAAUAUGUCCCUAAUUUUUGACCCUCACAACCACAUCCUGAAAUCACCUUUGAACUAGUCUUCCCACUUUUAGACUGGCUCAAGGUUUAGUACCACACUGUUGUUACAGAUAUUCCAAUCUAGAAAAUAUAGACACAUUGUGUGAUUUCAGUGUCUUCCCAUGAUGAUCAAGACAAAAUCAAUCUCUUUUCCUUG